UCUCCGUUAGUAUAUCGGUUAGUACACGCGCCUGUCAUGCAAUAGCGUGCGCGCGAAAGCUGGGUUCGACUCCCAGACGGAGAG
rfam:Coprinopsis cinerea okayama7#130 chromosome 1 cont3.1, whole genome shotgun sequence.